AUUGAACGCUGGCGGCAGGCCUAACACAUGCAAGUCGAACGAGUGGCGGACGGGUGAGUAAUGUCUGGGAAAGUGCCUGAUGGAGGGGGAUAACUACUGGAAACGGUAGCUAAUACCGCAUACUAUUGGAUCGGCCGAGAUGGGAUUAGCUAGUAGGUGGGGUAAAGGCUCACCAAGGCGACGAUCCCUAGCUGGUCUGAGAGGAUGACCAGCCACACUGGGACUGAGACACGGUCCAGACUCCGACGGGAGGCAGCAGUGGGGAAUAUUGGACAAUGGGCGAAAGCCUGAUGCAGCCAUGCCGCGUGUAUGAAGAAGGCCUUCGGGUUGUAAAGUACUUUUGGCAGGGAAGCGUUAUCUGCAGAAGAAGCACCGGCUAACUACGUGCCAGCAGCCGCGGUAAUUC
rnacentral:rRNA from 1 species